ensembl:lncRNA
GUAAGGGCCUGAGCCAGGUAUUCAAAAGCAGAUGCAAUUCUCUGGCCCCUUCUCCUCAAAUACAAAGGAAUGCUCAUUUGCUUGAUCUACUGAUUGCAGUUUUGCUAUCACGGUACUUGUCUGCUGCUAGAGCUCAGCAUCACAGGACAAUAACUGUGGCUCUACAGGAAAGGCAGAAGAUGGUAGCAGAGGGGCAGUCUGACAGAAUGGCGUCUGACAUGGAAGUGCGUAUUCAGCAAAGUUACAUGUACCUGAGCGCCAAGACCAUGUGUUAGUGUGAUUCUUCCUAAAGGGAGAUGAGGAGCACUGUCAGAAAGACCACAGCACCUGCAGCAGAGUCACUGUGGAAGUGGAGCACAAAGCAGUCACUUUGGUUUCUUCAUCAGCAUUUUGAAAUGCCUGAUUGAACUGAAGAGAUAUGGGACACUGUCUUUUAUCUGCACGCUAACAGACACGUCUGUGCUGUGCAGGAGAAUUAAUUGCUCUCCAGCCUGAAAUACAUAACUCCAAGGUGACUUUACCAAACUGACAGCCUGAGGCACUGUGUCUGAGAUGACUGGAAAGGAAAGAGGGGCAACCCCAGCCACCAUAGUCAGAGUCUGUCUGUCAAGCACACAGAGUAUCCCUGCAAACCUGCCUACCAUCUCAAGGGGAAGCUUUGUGCUGUGAAGUGAGCCCCAGCAACAGUGCAGUAAGCAGGCUCUGAGAGUUCUUCAAUUCUAUCUCUGGCACUGAGGAGCUAAUUCUUUGCAUUUCCUCAAACAGUCUUAGUCAUUUCAGUCAGCAAAGACCCAUUGGAGGCUUAUGUUCUAUUACUGCCUCCUUCCAGACGCCAGCAGUCGAUGCAGGAGCUUGGUGGCACAGUGUUUCUCCGGUAUGACUCUGUUUAGCUGAGUGAGAGGAAACAUCAUGUGGUGCCUUUGACACUGUCAGAUCUGUUACCUUUAAAUCUUUAGUGAAUCAGCAGACUAAUGUAGUGAACUAAAGCAAUUUAUGUAGAAUGGGAGCAAUCUAAGGUACAAAAUGGCAGUUGGGAGUUUAACUUAAUGGGAAUUAAUGGUUGUUGCUGGAGAUCUUAAUUCUUAUUAGACCAAUUUCACCCUGUUUCCACUGCUGGUGCUUUUAAACUAGGGAGAAAAAAAAAGUUUAAUGGAAAUUCUAGAUCUUACUGAUUAGUGCAGUGCUGAGAAAUAAGAAGUCUUAAACUUUUGUGCAGUGUGGAUCACUUUGUUAGAGAAACUGCCUUGCUGGCCACCAUCAUUUCUCAUUUGUAAUAAAUAGGCAACUUUUUCAGCUGUUCGUGUUUGUAAGGUCAGCUCAAUCUAUCCUUUGGGACAUCUCCAGGAGAGAACAGUAACUGCCUAUCUGAAAAAAUAGCAUCAAGAAAGUACCAGAUACUCAUGUAUGUUUUGUAUCCCUUUUAUGAAUAUGUAAUAUUAAAACCCAGGAGAAGCUAAUUCCAUGAGAGGAAUAAUUUUUUCCUUGUCCUCUAGGAAACCAUUUUGUGAAUUUUUUGUUGAACUUUGUGUGAACUUUUUGUGAAUUUUUUUGUUGAAUUUUGUCUUUUGUUAGGAAGGUAGAUGUCCACCAGGGCAGGAUGGGCAAACUUGCUCAUGUCCAUGAUGAUCUUAAGGGCAUCUGAUCUGAAGAGUACAUUCAUGCUGUAGUCCCUUCAACUGCCUCUGUCCAUCCCUGGGCAUGUGUUUGAUGUUGUUUUUGCUGUUCAACAAAGUUUGAUUCAUCUCCUUGUUGACUUCUUUAUCUUCUUCAAAUGAUGACCUACUUUUCCAUCUUUUUUUGUUUCCUCUGUCCUAUCAUAAUUUUAUCUGACUCCUUCUCUGCUUUAUAGACCUCCGUAAAUUGAAAUAGUUUAACUCUAUUAUAAAAUUAUUUCUGAGUUAGAUGUCUAAUAUUUUCCGUCUCAAGUUAUUUUUAACUUUUCUGCAAGCCUCUGAAAAUUAAUUUGAUAUUUCCCUUGUUUAAAUCAUAGUAAAAAAUAGAUACUUGUUUGAUAAAUUUGGUAAACCUUUUAAAUUUACUAUGGUAUUGUUGCUUUGUUGAUGCUUCAUUCCACCACUAAAAACAGGAAAAUGAGUGCUGCUGCUGAUUCCAAAGAGCAUGUUUUAAAGAACAUCCACUAAUUUUUCUUACAAAUAAAUAUUUGAUAUUACAAAUAUUUAAUAUUUAAUAUUCCAGUAAUUUUUUCACUUUGCUUUCUAGUACUACUUACUCAGCUUUAUUAACAAGAGUAAAUUUUCCUUCUAACCAAGCUGUUCAUCACAAUACUCAUUUUAUCAACGCUACAAACUAAACCAUACUGGAAAUCCAGCCAAAACUUAACAGCUUUUUUAUUCUCAGAGCACUGUGCCAUUUUCCUGUAAGUUUUAUUAUUCUAUCCUACCAUUCAUCUCCUACUGUGAGAGAAC